AAUCCUUAACCUGUUUUUUUACCUGUGUGCAUGCAGAACUCCAAACGUGACCCUGGACAUCCCAUCCCACUCGGCCUGGCUGGCACAUCAGCACCUAGGAAUGCAUGGAAAACUUCUCUUGGUGUUAUGUCUUGCUGUGAAUGGCAAUGCCCAGGUUAGCAUGAUGUGAGCUUGCAGCCACAGUUAACGUUUACAAAUCUCAGGAAGGUUUCACGGCUGUCAGGAAGGACUUUGCAUUUCGGGUUCCAUUCGGGCAACUGUUGCUCAUCCCGGCUCGUGGCUGAUGCUUCCUUCGCAAUGGGUUAGGAGUUGAUGUGGUUGUGUCACAAAUAUGAAACAGCUGGAUCCUUCAUAACUGACACCAGCAACAUUGGAAUCCGCCUGGAACUGCUGCUGUUCCCAGAGGUUCUGAGGGGAAAGAAAACUCCGCUUAAGUCUUGGAUUGAUGUCCUCAUCUGGAUUCCAUGGGGCUGGAAGAAGAGCAGUCCUGGACUCAAGCCAGUGAUAGCAACAGCAGCGCUGCCUCUGCAAGCAGGAGAGUGUGUUACUACCCCUAUAGGGGGUUCUGGUGACCCCUCUUUGCCUCCCCUCCUCCUCCUGAGCAAGCAGCAGGUCCCUGCUUUCCCCUCCGUAUUUUAGCUCUCCCAGCCCAAGUUGGUUUUCUCCCUGCAGGCUGCAAGUGCUCCGGAGCAGACACUGCUCAGAAGUUGUAGGGAUGGAACCUGCCACUGGGCAAGUAAAACUCCAGCCUGACCCAGAAAGGACAAGCAAAGGGUAAUUGUUUCACUGCCAUUUCAUCCUAAGGUUGCAACUUCACCUCAUUCUGUAACAAAGAACAAGGAGGGUGAGGAAUAUUGGCUGGAAUUCUCACCUGGUUUUCCCCAGCUCAUCUGAGCGGCUUUGCUCUGUGGUUCUCUCUCUUUACAUACCCUCAUCUGCCCAUUUCCACCCCACCUCCACUCCCCGGUGGGGCUGCACUGUCAAAAGCCUAUUCCCAGCCUGUAUCGCUUUUUAUUGAAUGUUUGUGAGGUUUGGAUUAAGGUCUUACACUGCUA
rnacentral:lncRNA from 14 species